UACGAAGGGGGCUAGCGUUGCUCGGAAUCACUGGGCGUAAAGCGCACGUAGGCGGAUUGCUAAGUCAGGGGUGAAAUGCCAAGGCUCAACCUUGGAACUGCCUUUGAUACUGGAGACCUUGAGUCCGGGAGAGGUGAGUGGAAUUGCGAGUGUAGAGGUGAAAUUCGUAGAUAUUCGCAAGAACACCAGUGGCGAAGGCGGCUCACUGGCCCGGAACUGACGCUGAGACGCGAAAGCGUGGGGAGCAAACAGG
rnacentral:rRNA from 1 species